rnacentral:rRNA from 1 species
AUUGAACGCUGGCGGCAGGCCUAACACAUGCAAGUCGAACGAGUGGCGGACGGGUGAGUAAUGUCUGGGAAACUGCCUGAUGGAGGGGGAUAACUACUGGAAACGGUAGCUAAUACCGCAUACCAUCAGAUGUACCCAGAUGGGAUUAGCUUGUGGGUGGGGUAACGGCUCAACAAGGCGACGAUCCCUAGCUGGUCUGAGAGGAUGACCAGCCACACUGGAACUGAGACACGGUCCAGACUCCUACGGGAGGCAGCAGUGGGGAAUAUUGCCCAAUGGGCGCAAGCCUGAUACAGCCAUGCCGCGUGUAUGAAGAAGGCCUUCGGGUUGUAAAGUACUUUCAGCGGGGAGGCGUUACCCGCAGAAGAAGCACCGGCUAACUCCGUGCCAGCAGCCGCGGUAAUUC